AGGCCCAGGCCCCCUAGUUAGCGCGACGCGUUCCUCUUAAUCCACUGAAGACCCAAGAGGUCUCCUAGGAUAUUGUCCAGCGGUUCGAGAAUCGAGUAUAAAACUCAGAUUGUCGCCACACUGUCUCCUCCCAGACAGGCCUGCAGCCGGCCCGCGCCUUCCUUCCCCUCUCCUCCCAGCAUAUAAGGUGUUUACUGUCCUAUCCUACAACCAACAUGUCAACACUUUUUCUAAAAUAAUGACAAGAAUAAAUUAUACAGAAUCCUAUUUGAAAGUAAGCAAAAUUAUACUGUGGGGAUGCCUGAUGUAACCUAAGCAGAAAUAACAAGCAGACACAGAGAGUGAGACAUGAGAUAAUGGCAAAGUUCUUUGCUUUAAGAGAUCUUAAAACAAAAACUGAAUUAGAGGAGAUACAAAAGAUAUACAACUAUACCUAAAUUUUACCUUUUCCCCAGCAACUUCGAGGAGGAUAUUCUUAUUUCCAACUUAGAGAAGAAACUUAGGCUUAAAGAGAUUUUAAAAACUUGCCAAGUUCCACAUCUAGUAAGUGGGGAAGCGAGGAUGCAAAAGCAAAUGUGGCCACAGAGGCAGUGUUCUUCCUCUUUGCCCUGCUGCCUCCUCUUACUGCAGAAAAUCAAGUGCAGAAAGGUGAGUUAUGGACCCACUACAUACUUGGAAACUACCUAUAGCUCUGUUUGUACUGAAAUUUUAUUCUUGGAAGACUGUAAAAUAUUUUAACUGCAUUAAAUAUGUAAUGCAGCAAGGCAUUAUUGCAUAGCUGUUAAGAGCAAGGACUGGAAGAAGAUGGCCUGGUUUCACUAACUACCUGCAUGACUUUGGGAACUUGCCAGACCUUUGGGAACUUGCCUGAGGAACUUGUAGUUUCCUCAUCUGUAAAAUGGGAUAAUAAUAGAUUCUAUCUCAGAGGUUAGUUGUGAAAAUUAAAUCAAUAAGCAAGUGUUAGAAGAGUGAAACAGAAGUGUUUACUUUUGCUUCUAUGGCAUAUCACGAUAGUAAAGAGGGGUUCAAGAAGGAAUAAAAUGACACAGAAAGAAGACGUUGCAAGUGCUAGUUUGUGAAGGAUGCCUUUACAUCUUUGGCCCACUCCAGGAACUAGAAUAUUAUCUAUAAAUGUAAUUGAAUCUUCCUGAUUCAGGCAUCAUUCCUUAAUAAUACCUUAAGACCAUGUUUUUAACACUAAAAGAUCAUCAAAAGGUUAAUGAAGAAUACCUGAAUGCAGAGCUCUCUGAGGGUCACGACUGUCCAGGGUCCUCAAGGUCGAUGUUUGCUUUUGAGUCUUCUUCCUUCCAGUGUUUAGCUAUUGGCUCAUUUGGGCUUUCUUUCUGAUCAUUCUAAUUUAGUCCAAACUUGGGUCAUUAUCUGUCUUCUCUGUUCAGAGCUACUCCUAGCUGUCAGCUACUUUCUGUUGCUCACCCUAAUUCCACCUUUCUCAAAUUCAAAAAGAUUUUUUAAAGGAAUAUAUGCUUAUCCUACCUCACCUGGUUGCUUAUAUCCAGCUGUCCUGCUUCUGUAAGCACAAGAGACACACCAUGUGUCAUGAGAGUGAAUGAUGGUUACUGCUCUGCUAGUUCUCAGUAGUAACAAUCCUAGUUGAUUCCUCACCAGCACCUCUAAAUCAAAAUAGGAAAGAAUGGUUUUAUGGUACAAUAUACUAGUUUAAAGAUACUGGUCUGCUCUUACUGCUUAAAGUCAUAGGUUAGAAGAAGAGGGAACCAUCUAUCUUUGGACCUGGUGUCCUAGACAUGAGUUCCAGCACCUGUUAAAUAUCCCAGAGCUAUUCUACUAGCCCUGAAAGUGAUGCCUCACUGUUCAUUUGAAAACAGAUGCUAAGGAGAAGGAAAGGGACAUACCAAAAACCAAGCCUGAACUAAAGACCUUCAGAAAAUCACUUUAAUAUUUGCCUAGCCACGCUCAGUGGGAAGACUUGCUCUAUUGAAUCCAUACUGUAUCAGAAUGCCUUCUCAGAAGACACCCUGGUGGAAGAAAAAAAUAAAACAUAAAAGCCUUGUUCAGCAGAAAGCAUCUUAGAUAAUAGAAGGCAACAGGGCCAAAGAUGGUGUUUAUUCCAUGUCACCAUACCUUCUUUGGUCCCUUUUUUCACUGAAAUUCAGGCAAAGUAGUAUGGUGGGCAGAAUGUGGUGGUAUUGUGGAAAGAAUCCUGGACUAGGAGAUGGGGUCAGGGUGUGGUUUCAAUAUCUGUUUUCUGGAAAAGCCAUUGCUCUCUCUGAAUUUCAACAUCUAUUCAUAUUAGGAGGUAAUAAUAUCUACCUCACAAAACUGUUGUGAAGAUUAAAUAAGACCUUUGUGUGUUACAAUAGCAAUAUUGGACAUUAUUGGUUUUUAUUAGUGACAAAUAAUUUUGAUAUUACAGAUCCAAAUAAUUAAGGUCCCAAAGCCUUGUUUUCUACCAAACUAGAUGCUUGAAGUUUUUGGAGUUUUUUUCCCAGAAAUUCAUUAAUCUGCAUAUCUUCUGGAUACAGUAGGCAGAGUGCAAAGAGCUCAAGCAUUGGAAUGUGAGAGAUCUGAAGUCAAGCUGUGGUUAAGGCACUCUGAAUUCACUUACUAGUUAGUGCCAGUCAAGUCUUUGAUCCUUGGUUUUCCUUUCAUAAUAUGGGGCUAAUGGCAUUUUGCAUAGUUGUAGAGAGGAUUAGAGAUAAUGUCCAAUGGAGCCUAGCAUAGGGAAUAGUUCACAGUAAACAAUCAUAUAGGAUAUCCAAUAUAGGAUUUUUUUGGUUUUUCAUUCCUUUAUAUUAUUAUUGACAAUAUGGGUUUUCCUUUGUUCACAGUUACUUUAUAGGUUCUCAAGCAGUGUGCUUAAUGGGCAGUAAAUUCUGACAAGAUUACACCUUGACAAAGAAAAGUCAUUUGGAUUAAUGAAUCAUUACAAAGUAACAUGGGGGGGGCUCAAAAAUUAUUUUCUCUUUAGAUAACUGGAAAUUCUUUAGAAAUUCAAAUUAUUAAAGAAUAUGAACAUUGAUAAGACACGGUUAGUGCCUUCAGGAAGCUCACAUCCUAGCUGGAGGAAUUUCUUUCACUAAUAUCUAUGUUCAACCAAAUGUAGUCUUUGUAUGAUGACUGGGCUGUGGAUUAAGAAAAAAAUACUUUCAGAAAUUAGGCAAAAAUCUGUGAAGUCAUCUUUCUGUCAAAGGGGAUGGGUGACAGGGACCUGGGUAGUGGGAGAAUUAAAAUCUGUUAACUGUAUUCUAUGUGUCAGACACAGUACCAGGCAAUUUAAGUUCCUUGUUUCAGCUAAUCCUAAAAACAAGCCUAUGAGAAAGGCUGUAAAAUGUUGACUUUUUAUUUGAAAACAACUGUGAAUCUCAGAGAAGUGAAGCAAUCUUACUUAAUAUCAUACAUCCAGUAAAUGUUGGAAAUGGUAUUCAAAUCAUUAAUGGGAAGACUGGGGUUUGAAUGUGGGUUUUGUCCUAUUUAACAGAUUUUAAGAAAUCUGAGUAUUUCACCUUCUUCAAAAAAUGCCUCCUUUUCUCUCCUUGGUUUUCUCCUUUCCUUUUCUGUUGGGCCUGAUAGUGAGUUCAAUUCUAGACUUUGGAACCCUCUGAUCAGGGCUAUAGCUAUUUUUUCUGUGCACAUAGCCCAGAGGGCUUAUCCUAUUUUUUAAUUUACAAAAAGAACUGAUAGCCACUUCAGAUGUGCUAGUGUUGAGUGUUCAAAUAAAAGGAAAUUCACCCAACAUGAAUUUAAUUGUAGAAAUGUGGCACAGGACAAGCUCAAUUAAGAUACACAGUUCAAUCAUUUAUCCUUUUGUUUAACAAAUAUUAGUGAUUAUUGCUCUCAGCCUCCAAUAAGUCUCAAAUCUUUAUAAAGCAGUUUUAGGUAAUCAAUAUAAUCAGCCACAAGUAACAAAUUCACAUGGCUCACAAGAAGGAUGCUUUUUUUUUCUUUUAUGUAUCAGCCAAUGUGAGGAUGGAUAAUCUGGAAUAGGUAAAGAAGAAGGGCGAAGAGGUGAAGGAAUCAGAAAUUGUUUUGCUCGCUCUGUGUGUGAGUGUAGAACACUUAACAGGAGGUCUAUCCUCUUAGCUAGAGAUCUGCUGUGCAACUGAAUCUGUCUCUUUUAAGAAGACAUUCAGGGGAACCCAGCUAGCAACUUCAUCUCAGUUCAUUAACUUACAUCUUCAGUCAGAAUCUAUCACACGGUUACUCCUGGGAGAAAGAACUCUGUUGUGGCUUGGAAUGUAAAAUUGGAAGAAAAAAGUAGUAUCAGACACAAAGAAGUCUUUUUCAAAUGUUAGGAAUUUUAGUUUUCUAGCCUCCAGAAUAGAGAAAAGCAAGGCAGAGAAGGGCUACUACGAAUGGCUUUGAGGUAAAGCUAUCAGCUCCUCUACAAUGCUGACCACUGGAAGCUACUGGUCUUCCCCGAGCCAUGUAUGGUGCCACAGAGGGCAUUGUGGUUCUACUAUUUACUGUGAAACUGUAUUAAAGGUUCUUGACUUCUGCCAAGCUUAGCUUCCCUAUUUAUAAAACACGGAUAACUAAAGUGUUUAUUGUAAAGGAUUCUUGUGGCCAUUUUAUACAACAGUGAAUGUUAAGUGCUUAACAAAGUACUUGGCACACACUGAACUUCAAUAAGUAUAAACAACUAUAAAGAUAAUAAUCAUUCAUAUUAUUAAUACUGACACUUCUCCUUGACCAGAGUGAGCCUUUUUACAUUAUCUGUAUAUUGCCAGGUUUUCUGCUUUGUUUUUUGUUUGUUUGUUUCUGUUGUUGUUUGUUUUGGUCCUAGGAAUACCCAUCCCGAGCUUUGGAUGUGUCCUUUGAGAAGGUACCCAUGACACAGACCACGCUGGACACCAACUCACACAUUGGGGAAAGGUUCUAUGACACUUGAGUGUGGACCUGCCGAUCACAGAGCUCACUGACGCACAGUCACUAAUGUCUCCUCUUGAGCUGAUGGAGGCUGGUGCUGCUUUGAAGCAUUGAGAGAUGCCACGCCAAUUCACAGCAAGGUCUUUAUUGUCGAAACUCCUGCAUAAUGACAUCUUUAUUCAUGUGAAAAUACAGGAUGAAUUUCAACUAUAUGAUAUUGUUUAUGUUCAUCAGAAAUGUUAUUUGUCUUUACAAAGUCUGGUUUCAAUGAACCGGCUAUGUAAUGGAUAUUAAAUAAACAUGGAAUUUUACACAUUCA